CAACUUGUACCCGGUGUGCGCUCUCCACAACGUGGCCGUCGAGAUGAGCGAAACCCGCCCGACGCCGGUGAGGUUCCAGCGCAUCGCUCACGAGGGGGCGAACGUCGUGCGGCUGGCGUGCUUCACGGAGCGAACAAC
rnacentral:SRP_RNA from 10 species